GCUCCUGCAUCCGAAAGUGAUCAUAGGCUGCCUGUGCCUAGGUCAUUGAUAGUGCAGGGAGAGGAACGCUGAAAGAGGUUGUCCCCGUGUUUGGAGGGUCCACCCUAUCCCAUCCGAACCCUGAAGCUUUCACACAACUCCUGUUGCUCUCCUGCCAGCCCUUGAGGAGUCCGGCGCUUGCUUGGCUGCCACAUGAAAGAUUGUCAGCUGACCUCUGUCCUGUGUGCCCAGUGGCCCCAGGUGACGUGUCUUCAAGAAGAGGCUGAGCUGCGGUGCUUGUAAGGCAGGGUCUCAUUCUGUCACCCAGGCUGGAGUGCAGUGGUGCAAUGAUGGCUCACUGCAGCCUCGACCUGGGCUCAAGUGAUCCUCCACCUCAGCUUCCUGAGUAGCUGGGACCACAGAGUCAUGUGCUGUUCCUGGGGCUUGGAUGAUGUAGGGGAAGCAAGGUGAAAGUGGUAUCCCGUGGUUCCACGUUCUGUCCUGCUGUGGGGCUGUCCCUCACAUGCUUUCAGUGGCUGUUGCAGAGGAAGAGCCUCCGGAAAUCUGCGUGGGUCUCAGCCUUAGAUCCAAGGACAGUCCAAGGAAGUCCUAAGACCAUGGAGUUGGUGAUCUAGGAUCUGGGUUUGCUGAUAUUUCUCACCGUGAAUCUCUUGGUGGUGUUUGUGGGCACGAGAGGGGCAGAGAAUGGAGAGUGAGGCUACCACAUGAAGCGUCACCAGAGCUGCUCCCUGCUGCCUGCUCAGAGCACCCCGGAUCCACUGUUCAAUCUGCACAAGAUUCGGGGUCCAGACAUGGGAGACUUCAGCUGCCUCAGAGGACCGUGGACAGGGAAGGCCAGCCUCGCAUCCCUCUGUCCAUGCCUGGAAUGACUUUAAUAACCAAGAGUUUUAUUUUUGAAUUUGUAGCUGUCGUUCACUUUUUACCCACCCAUUCAAUAAACCUUACAGAAUUGC
rnacentral:sRNA from 1 species